UUUCCAAUUGUCCGGCGCUUAGUCAAUAAUACCGCCCCGUCUAGCCACCGGGAAUCCAGGAGUUUCCAUGUAU
rfam:Rahnella aquatilis CIP 78.65 = ATCC 33071, complete genome.